AUGGGUGGGCUGUGGAGAUAAGGGAUGUACAUGGUCAGUAACAAUAUCCAUGUACAUCCCUUACCUCCACAGCCCACCCAUCC